rnacentral:rRNA from 1 species
AAUGAACGUUGGCGGCGUGGAUUAGGCAUGCAAGUCGAGCGAGAACCCGCAAGGGGGACAGCGGCAAACGGGGUAGUAAUGUGUCGGAACGUGCCCUCUGGACGGGGAUAGCGGCGGGAAACUGCCGGUAAUACCCGAUGAUCUCGAGAGAGCAAAGGUGUGAUUCCGCCGGAGGAGCGGCCGACAUGGUAUUAGCUAGUUGGCGGGGUAACGGCCCACCAAGGCUGUGAUGCCUAGGGGAUGUGAGAGCAUGAUCCCCACCAUUGGGACUGAGACACUGCCCAGACACCUACGGGUGGCUGCAGUCGAGAAUCUUCGUCAAUGGGCGAAAGCCUGAACGAGCGACGCCGCGUGCGGGAUGAAGGCCCUUGGGUUGUAAACCGCUGUCGAGGGGGAUGAAGGCAUUCAGGUACUCCUGAAUGUUUGACAGAGCCCUGGAGGAAGCACGGGCUAAGUUCGUGCCAGCCGCCGCGGUAACAC